rnacentral:rRNA from 1 species
GACGAACGCUGGCGGCGUGCCUAAUACAUGCAAGUCGAGCGGGCCUCCGGAGGUGCUUGCACCUCCGGAAGGCCAGUGGCGGACGGGUGAGUAACACGUGGGCAACCUGCCUUUGAGGCCGGGAUAACACCGGGAAACCGGUGCUAAUACCGGCUACGUCCUCUUUCGCGCCGGCGAUAGGGGAGGAAGACGGUCUUUAAGGCCGUCGCUCAAAGAGGGGCCCGCGGCGCAUUAGCUGGUUGGUGGGGCAAGGGCCUCACCAAGGCGACGAUGCGUUGCUGACCUGAGAGGGUGAUCGGCCACACUGGGACUGAGACACGGCCCAGACUCCUGCGGGAGGCAGCAGUAGGGAAUCAUCCGCAAUGGGCGAAAGCCUGACGGUGCAACGCCGCGUGAGUGAGGAAGGUUUUCGGAUCGUAAAGCUCUGUUGUGAGGGAAGAACAGCAUCCGGAGGAAAUGCCGGAGGUUUGCCGGUACCUCACCAGAAAGCCCCGGCUAACUACGUGCCAGCAGCCGCAGUAACAC